UGAGUAACACGUGAGUGACCUGCCUUUUAGACUGGAACAACUUACCGAAAGGUGAGCUAAUGCCGGAUGUGUUAUAUAAGUGCAUGUUUAUAUAGGAAAAGUUGGGGAGACCUGACGCUGAAAGAUGGACUCGCGUCCCAUUAGCUAGUUGGUAGGGUAAUGGCCUACCAAGGCGACGAUGGGUAGCCGGCCUGAGAGGGUGGCCGGCCACACUGGGACUGAGACACGGCCCAGACUCCUACGGGAGGCAGCAG
rnacentral:rRNA from 1 species